UUGGGAAUCUUGCACAAUGGGGGAAACCCUGAUGCAGCGACGCCGCGUGGAGGAUGACGGAUCUAGGUCUGUAAACUCCUUUUGCCGAGAAAGACUUAGGACGGUACUCGGCGAAUAAGCACCGGCUAACUACGUGCCAGCAGCCGCGGUAAGACGUAGGGUGCAAGCGUUGUCCGGAUUUACUGGGCGUAAAGGGCGCGUAGGCGGCCUGUUAAGUGUGAAGUGAAAUCUCCAGAGCUCAACUCGGAAACUGCUUCGCAUACUGGCAGGCUUGAGGAACGAAGAGGUAACUGGAAUUCCUGGUGUAACGGUGAAAUGUGUUGAUAUCAGGAGGAACUCCAAUGGCGAAGGCAGGUUACUGGUCGUUAUCUGACGCUGAGGCGCGAAAGCGUGGGUAGCAAACAGG
rnacentral:rRNA from 1 species